rnacentral:rRNA from 1 species
AUUGAACGCUGGCGGCGUGCCUAACACAUGCAAGUCGAGCGGUAACAGGUGUAGCAAUACAUGCUGACGAGCGGCGGACGGGUGAGUAACGCUUGGGAAUCUGCCUAUUAGUGGGGGACAACCCGGGGAAACUCGGGCUAAUACCGCAUACGCACUACGGUGGAAAGCCGGGGACCGCAAGGCCUGGCGCUAACAGAUGAGCCCAAGUCGGAUUAGCUAGUUGGUAGGGUAACGGCCACCAAGGCGACGAUCCGUAACUGGUCUGAGAGGACGACCAGUCACACCGGAACUGAGACACGGUCCGGACUCCUACGGGAGGCAGCAGUGGGGAAUAUUGGACAAUGGGCGAAAGCCUGAUCCAGCGACGCCGCGUGGGUGAAGAAGGCCUGCGGGUUGUAAAGCCCUUUCAGUGGGAAGAAAAGCCUCGAGCUAAUAUCUCGGGGUCUUGACGUAACCCAUAGAAGAAGCACCGGCUAACUCUGUGCCAGCCGCCGCAGUAAC